rnacentral:rRNA from 1 species
AACGACGGCUAAUACCCGAUAUACUCGGUGAUUCGGUUCAUCGAGUAAAGGCUCCGGUGCUUCGGGAUGGGCCUGCGGCCUAUCAGCUAGUUGGUGGGGUAAUGGCCCACCAAGGCGAAGACGGGUAGGGGGCGUGAGAGCGCGGNCCCCCACACUGGCACUGAGAUACGGGCCAGAGUUCUACGGAAGGCAGCAGUCGGGGAUAUUGCACAAUCGGCGAAAGCCGGAUGCAGCGACGCCGCGUGGGCGAUGAAGGCCUUCGGGUUGUAAAGCCCUUUUAUGGGGGAAGAGACAAGGACGGUACCCCAAGAAUAAGCGUCGGCUAACUACGUGCCAGCAGCCGCGGUAAAACGUAGGACGCAAGCGUUAUCCGGAUUUACUGGGCGNUAAGAGCGUUGAGGCGGUUCCGUAAGUUGGGCGUGAAAGCCCCGGGCUUAACCCGGGGAGGUCGUUCAAUACUGCGGGACUUGAGGGCAGCAGAGGGAGGCGGAAUUCCCGGUGUAGCGGUGAAAUGCGUAGAUAUCGGGAGGAACACCAGUGGCGAAGGCGGCCUCCUGGGCUGUUUCUGACGCUGAAGGCGAAAGCUAGGGGAGCGAACGGGAUUAGAAACCCCGGUAGUCCUAGCCGUAAACGAUGGAUGCUGGCUCUGGGGGGUAUAGAUCCCCUCCGUGCCGAAGCUAACGCGUUAAGCAUCCCGCCUGGGGAUUACGACCGCAAGGCUUAAACUCAAACGAAUUGACGGGGGCCCGCACAAGCAGCGGAGCGUGUGGUUUAAUUCGAUGCUACACGAAGAACCUUACCUGGGCUUGACAUGUAGGUAGUAGUGAAGCGAAAGCGGAACGACCCUUCGGGGAGCCUACACAGGUGCUGCAUGGCUGUCGUCAGUUCGUGCCGUGAGGUGUCGGGUUAAGUCCCGUAACGAACGCAACCCUUGCCCUUAGUUACAUGUGUCUAAGGGGACUGCCCGGGACAACUGGGAGGAAGGUGGGGAUGACGUCAAGUCAGCAUGGCCUUUAUGUCCAGGGCUACACACACGCUACAAUGGCCGGUACAAUGGGUCGCCAAACCGUGAGGCGGAGCCAAUCCCCCAAAGCCGGUCUAAGUUCGGAUUGUGGGCUGCAACUCGCCCAUAUGAAGCUGGAGUUGCUAGU